rnacentral:lncRNA from 1 species
GAAAUGGGAACGGCAGUGCCAGCUGGGGAAGGUCUUGCAUCUGGCUAUGUGCUCCUGUCACCAAAGCCACUCCUAAGGCUGCACCAGGGCAGCAGUUUGCAGGGUGAUUGAAUGAACCACAUAUAGCACUGGGGAGAAAUGGAAAUCUUUUUUAAGCUGGGUGAUGUUGUAAAUGGGGAAGCUGGAGCAUUCCUGAAAGGCAAAACCUGAAAUGGGGAAUGAAAACAAUCUCUUCUAAUGGCAAAUAUAGCGAGUGGGAUGGAGAAAGGAAAUAAAUACUCAACCUGUUCCUG